rnacentral:rRNA from 1 species
AGCGAACGCUGGCGGUAGGCCUAACACAUGCAAGUCGAACGGCGGCACAGUAAGAGCUUGCUCUUACGGGUGGCGAGUGGCGGACGGGUGAGGCAUAGAUCGGAAUCUACUUUUUCGUGGGGGAUAACGUAGGGAAACUUACGCUAAUACCUCAUACGUCUAAAGGGUGAAAGCAGGUGUUCUUCGGACCUUGCGAGCACGCAUGAGUGGUGGUCGGAUUAGUUAGUUGGCGGGGAAAAGGCCCACCAAGGCGACGAUCCGUAGCUGGUCUGAGUGGAGGACCAGCCACACUGGAACUGAGACACGGUCCAGACUCCUACGGGAGGCAGCAGUGGGGAAUAUUGGACAAUGGGCGCAAGCCGGAUCCAGCCAGACCGCGUGGGUGAAGAAGUCCUUCGGGUUGUAAAGCCCUUUUGUUGGGAAAGAAAAGCAGCAGGUUAAUACCCCGCUGUUCUGACGGUACCCAAAGAAUAAGCACCGGCUAACUUCGUG